GUGCUUACUUCAGUAGCACAUAUAUUAAAAUCAGAGUAACACAGGGACGAUUAGCCUGGCCCCUGUGCAAGGAUGACACACAAAUUCAUGAAGCAUCUCAUACCUUU
ensembl:snRNA U6 U6 spliceosomal RNA